CUGCUUUUCACCCAGACCCCUGUAAGGAGCCUCAAAAACCUCACUGGUUUGCUAAGGUACAAAGAAAAAUUUAAUUGGCUGUCCCUUUCAGACUGUGGCUGUGACUAAGGAUGGCAUCCUCAACCAAGUGAGAAAUGUCAACAAAAGUCCCUGGACGCUGCCCCAAUCCCCUUUCUGCCUGUCCCCAGAGGUACGGUCAACUGCUAGGAGACUUUCACAGCCCACUGAAUUCCAUCUUUCAGCCCAAGGAUACUCAACAGAAGCAUGCUAUACCAGGAUUGU